CAUCUAGUCCAACACCCCUGCAAUGAACGGAGACAGCUACAGCUAGAUCAGGGUACUCAAAGCCCCAUCCAGCCUGACCUUGACUGUCUCCAAGAAUGGGGCUCCCACCACCUCUCUGGGCAACCUGUUCCAGUGCCUCACCACCCUUAUUGCAAAGAACUUCUUCCUUAUAUCCAGUAUAAAUCUUCCCCUUAUAGCUUGAAACCACUUCCUCUUGUCCCAUCACAAUAAACCCUUCUAAAGAGUCUGUCCCCUUCUUUCCUGUAGCUCCCCUUUAGAUAUGAAUGGCUGCUCUCAGGUCUCCCUGGAGCCUUCUCUUCUCCAGGCUGAACAGCCCCUGCUCUUUCAGCAUGUCCUCUUAGGAGACGUGUUCCAUCCCUUGGAUCAUUUUUGUGACCCUCCUCUGGAUGCACUCCAACAGGUCAGUGCCUCUCCUGUACAAAGGACGCCACAUCUGGACCCAGUACUCCAGGUGAGGCCUUGCCAGCGCAGAGUAGAGGACAGGACCAUCUCCCUGGCCCUGCUCACCAUGCUUCUUUCGAAUGGCAUCCCGUCCCUCAAGUGUGUCAGCUGCAUUUUCAUGGAGGAUGUUUAGAGAGAAGAGAUUAUUUCAUCUGCGGGUGUCAUCUACGUAUGAAUGGAGCAUUUUUCUGCUGGUGAUGUUUUCAUAUUUCAAAUUCUGCCCUCUCACCUUUGGAGAACAAGAGAGUCCAUCCACAGAGAACAAAAUCCUGGAGGUGUUCUGCAGAGCAGGUAGGCACCUCAGAUUUCUCUUUCCAGCAACCUCCUUUGGAGGCCAUCAGUGGCCGGAGCUGCUCUGCUGUCACAUUUAAAGGGAGAUGCAUCCAGGCUGGACAGACUGGCUGGACUCUGAUGGAAACCAUUUCAAGUAAGCUGGUUAUUUUUAUUGCUUUUUCCCUAUUUCACUGAAUCGUGUAACCUGAUAAAUAC
rnacentral:lncRNA from 1 species